UACAUAGGUCCCGAGCGUUGUCCGGAUUUAUUGGGCGUAAAGCGAGCGCAGGUGGUUUAUUAAGUCUGGUGUAAAAGGCAGUGGCUCAACCAUUGUAUGCGUUGGAAACUGGUAGACUUGAGUGCAGGAGAGGAGAGUGGAAUUCCAUGUGUAGCGGUGAAAUGCGUAGAUAUAUGGAGGAACACCGGUGGCGAAAGCGGCUCUCUGGCCUGUAACUGACACUGAGGCUCGAAAGCGUGGGGAGCAAACAGG
rnacentral:rRNA from 1 species